rnacentral:rRNA from 1 species
CUCAUAGCGUAUAUUAAUGUUGUUGCAGUUAAAAAGCUCGUAGUUGGAUUCCUGACCUGGGGUAGCCGGUCCGCCUUGCAAAAGGUGCGCACUGAGCGGCCUCGGUCAUCCUUGAGAAGAGCGGUCCUGGCAUUCAGUUGUCGGGGUCGGGAUUCUCGACGUUUACUGUGAAAAAAUCAGAGUGUUCAACGCAGGCUUACGCCUUGAAUACAUUAGCAUGGAAUAAUGAGAUAGGACCUUGGCGGUCUAUUUUGUUGGUUUGCACGCCGAGGUAAUGAUUAAAAGGGACGGUUGGGGUUCUUCGUAUUCAAUUGUCAGAGGUGAAAUUCUUGGAUUUAUGGAAGACGAACUGCUGCGAAAGCGUCGAACAAGGACGUUCUCAUUAAUCAAGAACGAAAGUUAGGGGAUCGA